rnacentral:snRNA from 1 species
AUGCUCGCUUUGGCAGUACACAUGUUAAAACUGGAAUGAUACGGAGAUUAUCACAGGCCCUGUGAAAGGCUGCAAAUAUUUGUGAAGCAUGCCAUAUUUAA